GGGCAAAGGACUUAAAUAGAUAUUUUUCCAAAGAAGAUACCCGAAUGGCUAAUAGGCACACGAGGAAAUGCUGUUUCUCACCAAUCUUUCGGGGAAUGCAAAUCAAAAUCACAAUGAGCCACCGCAUCACGCCCCAUUGAGGAACAUCCUGUGCUCUGCCUAUAGAUUCUCUGGCUGCCCCAACAUGAUCGUGGCUAAUGCUUCGUGGCUUGCAGGCCUGUUCCAGGAUGUCAUCAAGAGGACACGACCGCUGGUUGACCCAUGAUCUGGACUCAGCCAAUCAGAGGCUCCUCCCUCCCACCCCCCCCCCCCCCAGCCACGGAAUGUACUUCUGUCCGCUGUUCCCGCAGUGGGAGCUGUUCCAAGGACGUAGCCUUGACAGAGUAAGGUGUUGUUGAGACCAUGUGGAUGGUAUACGUGACUGAGUCCAGUUUAAGAUGCUGGUGGGUGGGUGGGGAGACCCACUCCUCUUGUGGCGCCCAAGACAGGGCUUCGCACGGAGCUGCCGCAGUGGACCGGCCGCUACUCUGGGCAGUGCGCACCAGAGGCUGAAGCUUGGGUUAGAAAGUUGGAAGAGCUGAAGUUAGGAAGGCGGUUGUCCAUGACUCUGUUGGCUUCGGGGCUCACAGCACGGUCGACAUGCUUGGCUGCUGAGAACACCGAACCCUAUCACACCGGAAAGAGGCAUUCUCUGCGUUCUCUACUGGAACUUGCGAUGAGACAUCCCCCAGGAUGGGGAGGUUAGUUCGAAUCCCUGAAUGAGGGGGGAUCCCCUCAAUCUCCACUGGGUCCCACCAACCCGCUGCAAGCGGGACCUGUGGAAAUGUGUUAUACCCGGAAUGGAGCACGCCCCCUUGAGAGAAGGUGGGGGUCCUGGUCUGGCCCACCCAGCCCCCGGUCCAUCUCUUCACACCUGACAGUGCUGCCUCUCCUGGCCAACGCGUAGGGUAUGUACAACCAGGUCAAGUUCCUAAAACCGCCAGCCUCCCUCUCCUCAAGGCCAGGUGGUCAUGUCUUUCCACUGGUACCAUUGUUUGGCGGCCAUCUUUGUUCCCUCGGUUGGGCAGGAGGACGUUAUUUUGUUUUUAUUUUUUUAAUGCCUAUUUUAAUUUUUUUGAGAGAGAGACGGAGCGCUAAUAAGAGAGGGGCAGAGAGAGAGGGAGACACAGAAUCCGAAACAGGCUCCAAGCUCUGAGCUGUCAGCACAGAGCCCGAUGUGGGGCUCGAACCCAUGAGCCACGAGAUCAUGACCUGAGCCGAUGUCGGACGCUCAACCUACUGAGUCACCCAGGCGCCCCUGGUCAGGAGGACAUUAUAGCACACACAGAAGCCCUUACUAAAGUCACCCAGCAAAUCUUGAACGAUAGCCAACAAAGCCUGUCUUUACUGAACCCUAAAAUCUUUCUAAUGAGGAAAGCUGUCCGCCAAAACAGAAUGGCCUUGGACAUGAUCACUGCUUGGCAAGGAGACACCUGUGUCAUUUUCCAAACAGAACAUUGUGUGUUCCCAUCCGAUAAGGCAGCUAGCACAUCGUCUUUAUUAAAUCACAUGGGGACACAGGUGAACACCUGCAGCAACCUGACCCCUGGCCUGGGAGACUUUAUAAAUCAGUGGGGGGUGGGGGGGGUAUGUGUAAGAUUGUAAGAGUCGGUCAUGAGGGGUGGAGGAUGGGGGGACGUCACACAGGACAGGACUGCUGGUUGACCCAUGAUCUGGACUCAGCCAAUCAGAGGCUCCUCCCUCCCUCCCCCGACCACGGAAUGUACCUCUGCUCACUGUUCCCACAGUGGGAGCUGUUCCAAGGACGUAGCCUUGACAGAGUAAGGCGUUGAGACCAUGUGGAUGGUAUACAUGACUGAGUCCAGUUAAGGUCUCUGUAUAAACUUGAAGAUUCUGGGGGUGCCCGGGUGGCUCAGGCAGUUGCGCGGCCGACUUCAGCUCAGGUCAUGAUCUCACAGCUCGUGAGUUCGAGCCCCGCAUCGGGCUCUGUGCUGACAGCUCGGAGCCUGGAGCCCGCUUCGGAUUCUGUGUCUCCCUCUCUCUCUGCCCCUAACCAACUCGCAGUCUGUCUGUCUAUCUCAAAAGUAAAUAAACAUUAAAAAAAAUUUAAAAGCCAACUUUAAGAUUCUGGAGGGUGGGUGGGGAGACCCACUCCUCUUGUGGCGCCCAAGACAAGGCUCGUAAGUGAGUUCCCUUGCUUAUUAAACCUGCCACCUACCCAUCUGGAGUGGUCCGCCUCUUUCUUUGGUCCCCCCUUGUCCUCUGUGUGUAGGGGCCAGUUUUGCGAACCAACAAUGUCACAACCUCAGGUGGUGAAGACUGCACGACCCCCAGUCCCUUUUUACUCAGAGAUAAGAGGCUUUGCCCGAGGCCAACGCAGCUAGGAAAUGGCAGAGCCGGGAUUCGGACCCAGGUCAUCCAUCUCCUGAGCACCUGUGUGCUCCGAACCUCUACACCAUGUCACCUGUGCUUUGAGAGCAUCUAAGUCAACCGUCGUCUCCCCCCAAGGACAGGAAGUUUUGUGUGCCUUCUGCGCAGCUGAAUUCCCAGUGCUUAGGACAGGGCGAGGCACGGAGCAGUACCCGAUAGAUACCCGUUAAAGGAAGGAAUGAACAAAUUCAGAAAGAGACUCAUUUUCACCAGUUGUUGAUGAUGGUGGGGGUGGUGGCGGUGAUGAAGAAAUAAAUGACAUGGGGUACAAUGACUUGGGGAAAAUCGCUCGGCAGCUUCCUAAAAAGUUAGAUGCGUAACUCCCAUAUAUGACCCAGGCAUCCACUCCUAGGGGUACACGCUGGAGAAAUGACAGCCGAUGUUCACACAAAGACUUGUACACCAGUGUUCAAAGCACUCCUAUUUGUAAUGGCCCCAAACUGGAAGCCACCCCAAUGUCCAACCAACAGGUGACUCAAUAAACCAACUGGGGUGACUUAACCUGUCCCACGCAAUGGCCUAGUUCCACACGCACGGAUCUCAAAACAAUGAUGCCGGGUGGAAAAACAACAACAACAACAAAAAAGCCAGACGUGGGAAUACAUACUACAUAAAUUGCAUUCCAGAAAAUGCAAACUAACCAAUGGUGACAGAAAGCGGAUCUGUCUUUGCGCGGGGCGGAGUGUGUGCGGAGGAGGCCUAUGGG